rnacentral:misc_RNA from 1 species
GGGCGGUGCGCGAAGAAACGCCGUCGAACGUUUGCUCGCUUUCGGCAGCCGCUCGCAUUCGCGUGUUCACGGAGGCGCGCUGCCGCCGCCACCGCCGCCGACGACGAGGACAAUCGGAUCGAAAGCGGAUGGUACGCGGCGCUCUCCGCGCGCUCCUUCCCUGAUUCCUCGCUCCUGUUCGCCCCCCUUCCUGUGACAAAGAGAGGGAGAGAGAGGGAGAUAGAGAGAGAGAGAGAGAGAACAGGAGAUACAGGGUGAUAAGCGGAGAGAGACAGGAGAGGAAAAGAGAGAGACACACGAGCCCCCGGUACGUAGGUACGCUCCAGUCGUUCAUGGCUGCGGUAGCACGAAGUGGGGGAAAACAAGCCGUGUAACAACGUAAGAUCCCGAAAGCUUUAUGCAGGAAUAUGUCAAGUUUAAAAAUCGUGUUGGUAAUGCACUUGCUUGCGCUACCCUUGAGAACGAUGGAUUCUGACCAAAGAAAUCAGCAGGUGCAUCAGCACUGAACAAAAUACAAAAAAGACUAAAUAAUGAAUGCCUGCUGCACUCACGCCGCCAACUCUGUACAAGCAGACUUAAGAUUUGUUGAAGUAGUACGUGAGUAGCAGCUACUCACGCCACACUCUCAGCUGUAUAUACCAACCUAAAUACAUAUAUAUACAUAUAUUGUCACGCAUAUAUAUGUAUAUAUAUUUAUUUUAUCGCACAUGGCAGCCAUGAAGCAUGGCAAGACGAGUCAAGACGACGUGUGUUACGUUGUCGCCAAAUAUGAUUACGGAGCACAGGGCGCCCAAGAGUUAGAUUUACGUAAGAAUGAUCGCUACCUGCUCCUGGAUGACUCGAAGCACUGGUGGAGGGUGCAGAGUGCGAGAGGACAGGCGGGUUACGUGCCGAGCAAUUAUGUCAAGAAGGAGAAGCCCUCGCUUUUUGAUAGUAUUAAGAAGAAAGUCAAGAAGGGCUCUGGUUCUAAGACCUUGCCAUCCAGUAACUCGCCAUCCCGCGCAGUCGAAUCGCCCGUUAUGGCGCGACGACUGCCGGCUGAUCCGAGCGAAGCAAUCGGCACCGCGGUCGUCAAGUAUAAUUAUCAGGCGCAGCAAGCGGACGAAUUGUCCCUCGUGAAGGGUACUAGGAUCUUGAUAUUAGAAAAAAGCAAUGAUGGCUGGUGGAGAGGUCAGAGCGGCACCCAGGCCGGUUGGUUUCCGUCGAAUUAUACUCAGGAGGAAGGCGACGCCGAUGAUACGCUGCAUACGUAUGCGAUGGCCGAGAACGUGCUCGAUAUUGUGGUGGCCCUGUACUCGUUCUCGUCUAAUAAUGAUCAGGAGCUAUCGUUCGAGAAGGGUGACCGCCUCGAGAUCCUCGACCGUCCACCGGCGGACCCCGAAUGGUACAAAGCAAGAAACAGCCAGGGACAAGUCGGCUUGGUGCCGCGCAAUUAUCUUCAGGAGCUAAGCGAAUAUUUGACACAGCCAUACCGCGGUAUGACAACUAGUGAAGUUAGCACAGGCGAUUCCUUGGAACGAAGGCCAGACCCCGGCGAUCGGCCUCAUCUCGUCGGCAAACCUUGGUACUACGGUAGUAUUACGCGCUCGCAAUGCGACACGCUGCUCAAUCAACACGGCCACGAUGGUGAUUUCCUGAUCAGGGAUAGCGAGACAAACAUGGGCGACUAUUCGGUAUCCUUAAAAGCACCAGGACGUAACAAGCAUUUUAGGGUACACGUGGAAGGAGCGCUCUACUGCAUCGGCCAGAGGAAAUUUCACACAUUAGAUCAGCUCGUAGAUCAUUACCAGAGAGCCCCAAUUUACACCAAUAAACAGGGCGAGAAGCUGUACUUGGUGCGCCCAUUACCAAAAGGCAAUUCUAGUAGCAACGGUUGCUAGGUGAAUUCGUGCCAUGAUGAAGGAGACAGUCCAUGAUGCGCUUUCAGAUGUAUCGCUAAGAUACUCGACGCCUGCCUAGUAAUAUCAAUAUCACACAUCUCCGACGUAUAAUUUAUAUUACUCUAAGUGAUCGGUAACUGUCAUACAUACAUAGACACACAAUACACACCACACCUCGGAGCUUCCAAACUACUACUAUUACUCAGCAAACGAACAAAGCAUUUUUAAUACGGCAGCUACGUGAGACAUUCGAACUAGUUGACAACACAAGGCUUAUCUUUAUAUUCAUAUGUAAUUGUAAAAGGCGAAAACCGACCAUGUUAUUACGAUUAAUAAUAUAUUACAACUACAUAUAAUAUAGACUGCAAGUGUAAUGAACAAGUAAUAAUUAAUUAUGCAAUUACGAAUGAUUAAGUGGAUCUCUACUCUGGAGCUAUUGGUAUUGAAUUAUAACAAAGACUAAGUGUUCAUUUGUGAUUUUGUAUUUAUUAGAAGUUUUUAAGUAAAUAAACUGUAUUUAAGUGUGCAUAA